UUUCUAUAGGAAAGUAGCAAUCCAUUGGUUUU
rnacentral:tRNA from 1 species